ACACUGACGCUGAGGUGCGAAAGCCUGGGGAGCAAACAGGAUUAGAUACCCUGGUAGUCCACGCCCUUUACGAUGAGGACUAGCUGUCGGGGGUAUUAAAACCCUUUGUGGCGCAGCUAACGCGUUAAGUCCUCCGCCUGGGGAUUACGGCCGCAAGGCUAAAACUCAAAGGAAUUUGACGGGGGCCCGCACAAGCGGUGGAGCAUGUGGUUUAAUUCGAUGCAACGCGAAGAACCUUACCUGCCCUUGACAUCCCGGGAAUCCCGCAGAGAUGCGGGAGUGCCUUCGGGAACCCGGUGACAGGUGCUGCAUGGCUGUCGUCAGCUCGUGUCGUGAGAUGUUGGGUUAAGUCCCGUAACGAGCGCAACCCUUGUCCCUAGUUGCC
rnacentral:rRNA from 1 species